AUGCCACUUUAUAUUUACAGUGUGUCACUGGAGACGCACAAGGCUUCAUUUAGUGACUUGUGUGACGAGACAAGCUUGCAUUAUUUGCCUGGGACAUUUUGGUGGAACAAGAGACCCAUUGAGCAAUCUUUUGAAAUGAACAAAUACGGAAAAAGGGGGGAAGAAAAGAGCAGGCAGUGCUCCGGAACAAAGAGCUUUAUUCAUAUGGAUGUUGUACAUGCUUUAUCCAGUUUUCCCCAAUGGCCCUCCUGGGAAAGGGGAGUGGGACAGGGAAGAGCCAAGGCAGGACACUGGCGCUUCCUCUCUGGUUUCCUGACUUCAUAUUCUUAUCCGACUUGGUCCUCGGCUCCCUGGACUCCCUGCCUGCUCUGCUCAGCUCGCUUGGUUCCCUCUAAAACCCCCCGAAGGUAAUGGUAUCCUGGGUCUAAAAGGGAGAUUUUGAAAUACUUUCUCCCAGCUCUGAAUUUAAGCGGAAGAAAGUGGAAGCUACCUGUUGAGAUGGAUGGUUGUUGGUGGAUAUAUUGGUUGAAUGGAAACAGAUAUCACUUUUCUAUGACAUGUGUCAGAAAGUGGUUGAUAGAGACUGUCACACGGGUAAGAGGUCUUGCAAUUAUAGUAUUAGCCUUAUUAUUUACUUUUAAAGAAAUGCUUUGGAAACUAAAAUCCAAAGUUUUCAUGAUCAUGAAAGGUACUUUUGGAGUUUUCAGUGCCUUUUGACCACACCUGGUACAUUUUGGCCUUAAACAUAAGUGAGGUUUUUUAAGAAAAUUAUUCCUUGGCCUAUAUUGCUAAGUGAUUUUCUGGCUUUAAAAACUUUAUAAUAUUGCUGUGAAUAUAAACGCAAUCUCUUGGUUUCUGUGUGUGACAUUUUGAUGCUUAACUGGCCACUUAGAAUUUACAUUUUAAAAAUGGUUUUGUGUGUGCCUGCGUGUUAACAAAAGGCCCAUUUUUAUGCAGGGGAAUCUCUUAAAUUGGGCCAAACGAAUCAAUGCUAUGAUUUGAAUGGAAAUUUACCAGCAUAUGAAGAAAUUUUAUGAGAAAGAAAUCCAAAGGAUUCAAAUAUUAUAUCUCUUUCUUGGGAAGAAUAGUACUGACCAUCACGCUGGGCAUUUUUAACAGAAAAUCCAGGACAUAAAGGAGAAAUCACACAGCGACAUCUGNNNNNNNNNNNNNNNNNNNNNNNNNNNNNNNNNNNNNNNNNNNNNNNNNNNNNNNNNNNNNNNNNNNNNNNNNNNNNNNNNNNNNNNNNNNNNNNNNNNAAAAUCCAGGACAUAAAGGAGAAAUCACACAGCGACAUCUGUUGCAGUAUUGAAAAUUUGCUGCUUUGAGUUGUAAGCAAUUAGUCCCGUAUAAGCACCUAAUGAUAACAGCCUGUGUGUGCAUGUGUUUGUAUGUACUCACACAAAUAUGUAUACAGCCACAUGCAUAUGUGUAUAUAUAUGCACUUAUACAGAAGUUCACCCAGUAUUCAGUCAGUCAUAUUUAAAAUUAUUUAAUAGAAACUUGUAACAUUUUAAUGCAAGGUUGUUUUUCUUCAUAUCACCUGUUGAGGAAUCAGAGUGUCUUACAGUCAUGGAAUUUUGAAAGGGAAUUAGAAAUCAUCAGUAAAAUCUCAUUAUUUUGCAGUGUGGGAGCCAAAGCCCAAAGAAGGAAGGACGACUGAACUGAGGCUAAGUUAGCUAUGCUUCCUGGACGAGGAGCUGGUCUCCUGAUGUCCAGCCUGUGAACUGUCUCUGCCAUCUCCCAGCAAGGAUGUCCAGUAAGGGAUUUGCAUCGUGGGUUAGCCGGCAUCGUUGGUAGGAAGAGUUUGUAUUCUAAAGGCAACAGGAAUAAUUGUUGUUCUCGGUAAUAAACUAAUGGAUCAGAGCUGUAAUCUCUGGGCAGAAAGGGCCAGUUUUUGGUAAGGUUGUCUGUGGUGUUGACAAGUGAAUUUGAAACCUGUGGACUUUAUCUGGCAGCCACCACGUGAAUGUUGUUCAAAGCACCUGCGGAGGGGAGAGCUCUGGAUUUGUAUUGCGGUCCUAAGUCAGAUGCGUGAAAACUAGGCUUCACAGAAGCUUCAGCUUUAGACUUUAAAGCUUCUGUUUUGUCAUUUCAAGGAGUAAUGUUAACAGUUGAACUGGUUCCAUGUAACUAAAGAAUAAAGGAACGGGCCUUAAAAACAAAAAAGGCAUCUUUGAUUUUCUUACCAGGUACUUGUCCUUUGCAUUAAGCCUGGGACAAAGCUGAGAAUUUCUUAGAGACAAAAAUUAUGUUAUUGUUGCAGGAUGACCUUUUUUAUGUUGAUUGUAUUUUCUUUUAUUUUUUUCACUUUAUUAUGGAAAAUUUCAAUUAUAUAAAAAGGAGAAAGAAUGCCAUAUUAAUCCUCUGUGCAAAUCAUAUGGUUUGAUAAUUACUUACUCAUGGUCCAUCAACCUUCCGUAUACCCCCUCCCCGUCCCAGGUAAUUUUUAACAAAUCCUGCAUAUCCUACCAGUUCUUCCAUAAAUUACUUUAGAACGAAUCUCUUUAAGAUACAGCUCUUCCUGUACACCCGAAAGCACAGUAUCAUUAGCUGAAUGUACAUUUUAUCCACUGGUAGAAUUUUCGCCCUGGUCUUGCUGCACCCAGGAAGGUGGAGUGAAGGCUUGAUAUAGUGGGUAGGAGCUGAGAGGCAGUAGAGAAGCCAGAGCGUGAUUACGUGAUUACCGCCUGUACUGAAGAGACCUUUUCCUGUGGUUUGGUUUAUUUUGAGCAAGGUUUUGUUUGGAUCGGAUAAGAUGAGUUUUAUUGUUGUGUAAAUAUGGUUGUGUAAAUAUGCAGUAAUUGUAGCUAAUCCCUCAACUGUGGCAAGCU
rnacentral:lncRNA from 1 species